rnacentral:rRNA from 1 species
UACGUAGGGGGCAAGCGUUGUCCGGAAUUAUUGGGCGUAAAGCGCACGUAGGCGGUUCGUUAUGUCAGAUGUGAAAGCCCUUGGCUCAACUGAGGAAGUGCAUCUGAAACUGGCGAGCUAGAGUAUGUAAGAGGGUCGCGGAAUUCCCGGUGUAGAGGUGAAAUUCGUAGAUAUCGGGAGGAACACCGGUGGCGAAGGCGGCGACCUGGGACAAUACUGACGCUGAGGUGCGAAAGUGUGGGGAGCAAACAGG